AAUUGCUCUUGUGUGCAGUUUUUGUGGUGAGCCUCAACACUGGUGUGCAUUCGUCUUGAUUGAAAGUCUCAGAGUUGUGAUAUGACAGCAUGUAAUGGCUGUAAAACUGCAGCAUCCCAUGGAGUACCUCUGCUGGCAGACUCAACAGGGUUCUGCUAUGAAGGAGUGUCGUGCUGGUAGAAACUGUGAGGUAGAGAGCGCUGGAGGGUGAAGACUUAUCUUUAUAGAAAAAGCGUACAGAUCCUGCAGAGAGAAUGUCAAGUUUCAGAUUUCAUCUGCUCAAAGAUGAGCAUCCUCUGAAUGUUUUGGCUUCCUCAUC